CACCGCGGUUAUACGAGAGACCCAAAUUGACAGCACCCGGCAUAAAGUGUGGUUAAGAACGAAUAAACACAGAUAAGGCCGAAUUCUUACAAAGCUGUUAUACGCAACCGAAAGAAAGAAGACCAACAACGAAAGUGGCCUUACCCAAUCUGAACCCACGAAAGCCAGGAAA
rnacentral:rRNA from 1 species